GUGAACGCUGGCGGUAGGCCUAACACAUGCAAGUCGAACGGCAGCACAGUAAGAGCUUGCUCUUACGGGUGGCGAGUGGCGGACGGGUGAGGAAUACAUCGGAAUCUACUUUUUCGUGGGGGAUGACGUAGGGAAACUUACGCUAAUACCGCAUACGACCUACGGGUGAAAGCAGGGGAUCUUCGGACCUUGCGCGAUUGAAUGAGCCGAUGUCGGAUUAGCUAGUUGGCGGGGUAAAGGCCCACCAAGGCGACGAUCCGUAGCUGGUCUGAGAGGAUGAUCAGCCACACUGGAACUGAGACACGGUCCAGACUCCUACGGGAGGCAGCAGUGGGGAAUAUUGGACAAUGGGCGCAAGCCUGAUCCAGCCAUACCGCGUGGGUGAAGAAGGCCUUCGGGUUGUAAAGCCCUUUUGUUGGGAAAGAAAAGCAGCAGGUUAAUACCCCGCUGUUCUGACGGUACCCAAAGAAUAAGCACCGGCUAACUUCGUG
rnacentral:rRNA from 1 species